CCUACGGGGUGCAGCAGUGAGGAAUAUUGGUCAAUGGACGCAAGUCUGAACCAGCCAUGCCGCGUGCAGGAAGACGGCUCUAUGAGUUGUAAACUGCUUUUGUACGAGGGUAAACGCAGAUACGCGUAUCUGUCUGAAAGUAUCGUACGAAUAAGGAUCGGCUAACUCCGUGCCAGCAGCCGCGGUAAUCCGGAGGAUUCAAGCGUUAUCCGGAUUUAUUGGGUUUAAAGGGUGCGUAGGCGGUCGGAUAAGUUAGAGGUGAAAUCCCGAGGCUCAACUUCGGAAUUGCCUCUGAUACUGUUAGGCUAGAGAGUAGUUGCGGUAGGCGGAAUGUAUGGUGUAGCGGUGAAAUGCUUAGAGAUCAUACAGAACACCGAUUGCGAAGGCAGCUUACCAAGCUACUUCUGACGUUGAGGCACGAAAGCGUGGGGAGCAAACAGGAUUAGAUACCCUGGUAGUC
rnacentral:rRNA from 1 species